CAGGUGGAUUUCUGAGUUCGAGGCCAGCCUGGUCUACAAAGUGAGUUCCAGGACAGCCAGGGCUAUACAGAGAAACCCUGUCUUGAAAAAACAAAAAUAAAAAUAAAAAUAAACAAAAAAAAAAAAAAAAAGAAGAAAGAAAAGAAAAAAAGAAGAAAUCAUUUGAUAAUUAUAUAAUCAUGGACUGAAUAGAUCAGCUUUUCUCUACUAAAUCUCUCCAAAAAAAGUAAAUACAAGCAUACCACUGAAAAAAUACUCCUAUCAUUUUUACAACCAAAUAUAAUGUGAAAUAUUAUCCACAAGUAUUAGUUUUUAUAUACUUAGUCUAUACUUCCAAAACCUAACAUUUUUAUAAUUAAAACUGGAAAGGGAUUCUUUCUUUAUAAAAAUUAGACAGUGUCUUUGUCUUUGAUAUAAGGUAUAUAAAGGGUAGUUGAUGUUUGUGACUGAGAUGCAUUCUGUCUAGACGUUAGCUAAGAUUAAAUUAGAGAUAAGAUGAACUUAUUUUUAUAUUACGCAUCAGCAGUGUUAAGUUGGUAUUGAUAAUGCAUUAUCACAAGCAGGUGUGAGGGACAUACUAAUGAAAAGAUCUGACAUCAGUGUAAAUAAACAGCUCCUUUCUAAAUUCUCAAAACCAUCAGAAACAUGAAGGAAAAAAAUGAGAUAAAUAUGACACCAGAUCCAACAAGUUUACCUAGAGAAGUGUAACAUCUAGAAUCAGGUGGGCUCUUCUUGCUAACCCAAUUAUAAUAAAGAUCAGAUCAAAGGAGGGUAAUCUAAAAUUCCCCAGAAGAAAUUGUAUUUGUCAUAGCUUUUUAUUCUAAUUACUGUUUUUAUUAUAAAUGUUCAGAUAGAUUUUGUGAAAUGUAUAUUCCUACCAUAAGACUUAGCACUAGGUAUGCAUAUUUAUUACAGUUUUUAUUAUAGCUCUCACAAAAUUACCUCUGGUCAUUUAUUGGCUUAGAACAAUCCCAAAUUAUAAACACCUAAUGUAGAAAUAAAAGCCAAUGUAUACAAAAACAUUCUGCCUUUCUGGUUUAUCAGUCUGUAGUACAAUUUUAUUCAAGUACUAGUGAUUUAGGUUUAUCAUGAAACAGAAUUUAAGUUACACUCACUUGUAGUGUUUAUAAUAAAUGUAUUGUCAAGUAGAGAUAGUCAAUAGUCAGAUCUGGGUAUUGAACCCAUAUAAACAUACACAUAUUUUUUUUUGCUGGAAUUCUUAUUACGUAUUAAUGAUCUUGCACUACCCUGCUACCUCACACACAAAAUUAUGAUACCCAGAGAAAUACUGAUUUCAUUUACAAUUUAUACUCAGAAUAGUUCAAAAAUAUAGUUUCCUCUUUCUCAGGCCCUUGGGAGGAAACUAGAAAUUUAUUUUUCCCUAUCCAGAGGCUUUUCAAAAUGUGAGAUAAAUACUAUAUGUGAUCAAUAACUGACCAAGAAAAAUGCCCUAGGCUUCUAACCAAGCUCCUACAAUAGAUGCAGAAAAGAGGCCAAUGAGAUCGUUGCCUAAAAAAACUCUCUUCCCUACUUUAAGUGCAAGAGAAGCAAGCUCUAGACAGCUAUCCUAACUGAUAAAGCAGAGUCCACUGCGUCUCUUCUGAAAGACUGUGACUAAGAAUCCUACCUCUUAGAUACAGCUGAUACUGUACUGUGUUCUUAACUGCUUACUUAACACUGUAUCUGUUACAUCAUCUUGUAUGUAUGGAAUUUGUGCCACUGACUUUUUGAAUUCUUACUCAGUUACUCACUGCCAUUUAAAAUGGUCAUAGUAGCUUUGCUGGAAAAUCGAAUAACUUAGGAAUGUUAAAAGAUUUUAUUUUUAUAGACAAAAGUAAAAAGAUACUAAGAACCAUGUUGCCUGUAUUAAUCAUAAAGAAGUAAAAUUGUAAGCAAAAACCAAAAUGUUUAUUUUUAAAUGUG
rnacentral:lncRNA from 1 species